rnacentral:rRNA from 1 species
GGCGGCGUGCUUAACACAUGCAAGUCGAACGCUGAAGCACCAGCUUGCUGGUGUGGAUGAGUGGCGAACGGGUGAGUAAUACGUGAGUAACCUGCCCUUGACUCUGGGAUAAGCCCGGGAAACUGGGUCUAAUACUGGAUGCUACAUGUCACCGCAUGGUGGUGUGUGGAAAGGGUUUACUGGUCUUGGAUGGGCUCACGGCCUAUCAGCUUGUUGGUGAGGUAAUGGCUCACCAAGGCGACGACGGGUAGCCGGCCUGAGAGGGUGACCGGCCACACUGGGACUGAGACACGGCCCAGACUCCUACGGGAGGCAGCAGUGGGGAAUAUUGCACAAUGGGCGAAAGCCUGAUGCAGCGACGCCGCGUGAGGGAUGACGGCCUUCGGGUUGUAAACCUCUUUCAGCAGGGAAGAAGCCACAAGUGACGGUACCUGCAGAAGAAGCGCCGGCUAACUACGUGCCAGCAGCCGCGGUAAUACGUAGGGCGCAAGCGUUGUCCGGAAUUAUUGGGCGUAAAGAGCUCGUAGGCGGUUUGUCGCGUCUGCUGUGAAAGCCCGGGGCUUAACCCCGGGUGUGCAGUGGGUACGGGCAGACUAGAGUGCAGUAGGGGAGACUGGAAUUCCUGGUGUAGCGGUGGAAUGCGCAGAUAUCAGGAGGAACACCGAUGGCGAAGGCAGGUCUCUGGGCUGUUACUGACGCUGAGGAGCGAAAGCAUGGGGAGCGAACAGGAUUAGAUACCCUGGUAGUCCAUGCCGUAAACGUUGGGCACUAGGUGUGGGGGACAUUCCACGUUUUCCGCGCCGUAGCUAACGCAUUAAGUGCCCCGCCUGGGGAGUACGGCCGCAAGGCUAAAACUCAAAGGAAUUGACGGGGGCCCGCACAAGCGGCGGAGCAUGCGGAUUAAUUCGAUGCAACGCGAAGAACCUUACCAAGGCUUGACAUAUACCGGAUCGUUCCAGAGAUGGUUCUUCCCCUUUGGGGUCGGUAUACAGGUGGUGCAUGGUUGUCGUCAGCUCGUGUCGUGAGAUGUUGGGUUAAGUCCCGCAACGA